GUAGACGUUAGCUCAGUGGUUAGAGCACAGGGCUCUGGCUCUCGGGUCCGCGAGUUCGAGUCCCGUCAACUACU
rnacentral:tRNA from 1 species